AUUGAACGCUGGCGGCAGGCCUAACACAUGCAAGUCGAGCGGAUGAAGGGAGCUUGCUCCUGGAUUCAGCGGCGGACGGGCGAGUAAUGCCUAGGAAUCUGCCCGGUAGUGGGGGAUAACGUCCGGAAACGGGCGCUAAUACCGCAUACGUCCUGAGGGAGAAAGUGGGGGAUCUUCGGACCUCACGCUAUCAGAUGAGCCUAGGUCGGAUUAGCUAGUUGGUGGGGUAAAGGCCUACCAAGGCGACGAGCCGUAACUGGUCUGAGAGGAUGAUCAGUCACACUGGAACUGAGACACGGUCCAGACUCCUACGGGAGGCAGCAGUGGGGAAUAUUGGGCAAUGGGCGAAAGCCUGAUCCAGCCAUGCCGCGUGUGUGAAGAAGGUCUUCGGAUUGUAAAGCACUUUAAGUUGGGAGGAAGGGCAGUAAGUUAAUACCUUGCUGGUUUGACGUUACCAACAGAAUAAGCACCGGCUAACUUCGUG
rnacentral:rRNA from 1 species